rnacentral:rRNA from 1 species
UACGGAGGGUGCAAGCGUUAUCCGGAUUCACUGGGUUUAAAGGGUGCGUAGGCGGGUUGGUAAGUCCGUGGUGAAAUCUCCGGGCUCAACCCGGAAACUGCCAUUGAUACUAUCUGUCUUGAAUAUCGUGGAGGUAAGCGGAAUAUGUCAUGUAGCGGUGAAAUGCUUAGAUAUGACAUAGAACACCAAUUGCGAAGGCAGCUUACUACCCGAAUAUUGACACUGAGGCACGAAAGCGUGGGGAUCAAACAGG